GACGGCACAGCUCAGUGGUAGAGUGUGUGCUUAGCAUGCAUGAGGUCAUGGGUUCAAUCCCUAGUGCAGCCA
rnacentral:tRNA from 1 species